CCUCUUUCCUCGGAGGAAACUUUCCGCCGGCUGGUCCGUCGCGGUGUCUGGCCGCACCGCCGCACGAACCUGGUAAGGCGGACGGGGCGGCCCGGCCCGGGUAUAUGCGGCGACCGGGAAGACACCAGUGUCGGGGCCAGGCUGCGGGACGCUGACGGGGUGGAGGAGCUACGGGAGGAGCGAGCGCCUUGUGCCCUGGAGGACCUGACCUGGGUAACCUCGCAGGCUGACAGGCGAGCUGCGCCACAGCAGCAUGGAUGCCCCGAGAAGGGACAUGGAGCUACUCAGCAACAGCCUGGCAGCCUAUGCGCACAUCCGAGGUGAGGGCCAGGCCUGGGGGCACGGAGCUCGUCCAUCAUAACCCAGGCAGCCCUCCGCUCCCAGCUGCUCACCCUGUCCUUGCUGCCCUUCCGUUCCUUACCCCAAGCCUAACUAGACCCUGGAUUUCUCCCAGAUGGGAUGACUCCAGCCUGUCAGGGCCCCCUGUGACCUCCGCUCCCUGCUCCCUAGCUAACCCUGAGAGCUUCGGCCUCUACUUCGUGCUUGGCGUCUGCUUCGGCCUGCUGCUGACCCUAUGCCUGCUGGUCAUCAGCAUCUCCUGCGCGCCUCGUUCGCGGCCCCGGACCCCUGCCCCACACCGGGACCCUCGCAGUAGCACCCUAGAGCCGGAAGACGAGGACGACGAGGAUGAGGACACCAUGACGAGGCUGGGUCCGGAUGACACCCUGCAGGGCCAGGAGCUGUCCACAGAACCCGACGGGCCCCUUAGCGUCAAUGUCUUCACGUCAGCAGAGGAGCUAGAGCGGGCACAGCGGCUGGAGGAGCGUGAACGAAUCCUGCGGGAGAUCUGGCGCACUGGGCAGCCAGACCUGUUGGGCAGCGGCACUCUCGGGCCCGGAGCCACGGCCACGUUGGGCCGAAUGCACUAUUACUGACACCCGGUCCCACAGAGUGGGGCCAGAGUACUGGAUACAGGACUGCCUCAGGGCUUUCAAACUGCCUCUGCCCCAACUCUCUUGGUGCUAUUGGGCAUUGGAUCGCCACCUACUAAGCACUCUUCGUGGGGCAGGUGUGGGUGGGAACAGAAUGCCAGCUCCCACCUUUUCCCGAUAAUAAUGACCAAUGAAAGAUCAAAGAAACAGACCGAGGCACGCCUCUCGCAC